rnacentral:rRNA from 1 species
UACGUAGGGGGCAAGCGUUGUCCGGAUUUAUUGGGCGUAAAGAGCGUGUAGGCGGCCUGGAAGGUCAGCUGUGAAAACUCGAGGCUUAACCUCGAGACGUCGGUUGAAACCACCUGGCUAGAGUCCGGAAGAGGAGUGUGGAAUUCCCGGUGUAGCGGUGAAAUGCGUAGAGAUCUGGAGGAAUACCGGUGGCGAAGGCGGCCCCCUGGACAAAGACUGACGCUCAGGUGCGAAAGCGUGGGGAGCAAACAGG